AUUUGUGUCACGGUUCUGGAGGGUAUUUAAUAACAGUUGGGCAUUAAAUUGUCAUGUUCCUCUGCUUACCAUCCCCAAACUAAUGGUACGGCUGAAAGAGCUAACCAAUCACUUGAGCUGUAUUUACGCUGUUUCGUGAAUAGUACACAGUCUAACUGGGCUUAAUUAUUUCCCUGGGCUGAAUUUGCAAGGAAUAACGCUACCCAUGACUCAUCUGGGCAUACUACAUUUUUCUGUCAAUACGAGUCGUCAUCCUGCUGAUCUCCCUGCUGUGCUUUCUGAUACGGCUAUCCCUACUCUGGAUGAUCACCUUACCUCUAUUUGUGAUACCUUGACUAAGGUUCACUCUGCUCUUGAAACGGCAGCUGCUCUCUUUAAAUUACAUGCGGAUAAACGGCGGAGUGCCAAUCCAGUUUACCAGGUGGGUGAUCAGGUUUGGUUAUCCUCAUGCAACAUCAGGCUGAAGGUUCCCAGCGAAAUUUGCUCCAAAGUUCCUUGGUCCUUUUCGUGUGGUUAGGAGAAUCAACCCUGUUUCUUAUUCUCUGGUCCUUCCAGU